UACGUAGGGUGCGAGCGUUGUCCGGAAUUACUGGGCGUAAAGAGCUCGUAGGCGGUCUGUCGCGUCGGCUGUGAAAACUCGGGGCUCAACUCCGAGCUUGCAGUCGAUACGGGCAGGCUAGAGUUCGGCAGGGGAGACUGGAAUUCCUGGUGUAGCGGUGAAAUGCGCAGAUAUCAGGAAGAACACCCGUGGCGAAAGCGGCUCUCUGGAACGGUACUGACGCUGAGACGCGAAAGCGUGGGGAGCGAACAGG
rnacentral:rRNA from 1 species